ACCAAAGGACUCACGGACCCAUACCGGUCCGUGGCCUGGGGGUUGGGGACUGCUGUACUAAGAGGUCCGCAGACGGGUUCUAGACCUGUCUGACUAAGGCUUUAAAUAACAAUGUUAUUGCUGAUGUUGACUGAUGGUUCCCAAGGCAGCGUUCAGAUCCUCUGACGUCAUAAAGCAGGAAUUACCUUGGAAAACUGCUCGACUGUGUGCAGCAGUAUUUCCUCACCAUUCCAGAAUUCUUGUGGAGCUUUUUGGACUCAUUUCGAGGCACUAAGAGAACACGUCGUAUGCUUUGUUGCACCUGCGCCACAGCUGGCGCUCAGAUGCCAGAUCAACGCCAAACACCGAGCGCUCCUCAGCCUGUGGGCGUCCGCUCUCCAUCGACUGUUUGCAUCAGUCUUCAUCCAACACUUCUCCUUAGCUGGCUGGCACCAUCACCCGUCUCCUCCCCAAGACACACAUAUACACACAGCAUCAGCACCACACUUCUCCACAGUAGUUGAGUCGCCACGCACCAUCUGCUCCCUUCAGGAGAGGGUGAUUGAUGCACCGGCCGUAUAAAAGCUACGGGGAUGACUCAUCGACUCCCCGCCACGAUGCUUGGUGCAGUGAGGAGAUGUAUUUUCCUAUCUGAAAGCGGCGGUCCCAGUAGCCUCACAUUGUUUUGUCGCCUUUGAAUGCUGAGCUGUGAUCAAAUUCCUCAUUGAGAUGCAGAUGGAGGGCCAACCUGCCUCAGCCCCAGCUCGUGGCUUUAGAGGCAGCCGCCAGGGUUGUUUGUUCUCCCCUCCGUGAUUUCAGCUCAUCAUCUGGAGCAGAGACUAACAGGAUCUCCUCCUCCUUUUCACACACAGCUGCACAGCCACUUCACCUCUCUGCCACCUUAUUGUGCCGCAUGAACCGAUGUUAAAGCAUGCUCAGUGGAAAUACACAAUGACACUGUGCUGGUACAGAACGCCUCUGAUACAAAUCGCACUCAUGAGGGCGGACGAUCACAAUACACAUAGAGAAAGUUAACACAUUUUACAUUUCAAAGCAUUUAAAAUAAAAGCAUUCAGAACUGUGCAACGCUUCAUUGUGGAAAUAUUUUGCUAAUGUGGGGCCAACUGCAAUCACCAACCUCUGUCUAAUGACAAAUACAAGUUAAAAAACAGAACCACCACAAAUGGUUGAGCUCACUGUUUGAAAUCACAUUAACACUUACAGAGUGGAGAGCAUCUAACACCCUGUGGACUGAUUUCUCUGUGAAGGACUGGGGACAAAUGGGUGUGAUGUUUUAGUGCUAGCUUAGAAACUGGAAUCCACUAAUGAUGAUAAAUGACUGCCUGUGUAUACAGUGAGCAACAACAUCUAAUAGCUUACAAAUGAAGUCCACUAAUUACCUUCCUCAAUAACAGUAAAACCCAAGGGGGCAAAUGGGAAGGUGUGAUCUUGUCAGCAGGAUAAAGAGGGAACAAAAGGGGCAUUUGGUUCAUGGAGGGGCUUUUGUACCCUGAGCUAGCUUUGCUCUACUUCAUGUUAAAGCUUGCUUGCCUGGUAAUGGAUUGCUAGCCAUUUAAAUUACUGUCCUGAAUGGAUAAAGUCAGUUAACUUUCAAAUUAAAGCAAAGUUACAGCU